rnacentral:rRNA from 1 species
GUUUGAUCAUGGCUCAGAUUGAACGUUGGCGGCAGGCUUAACACAUGCAAGUCGAACGAGAAAGUGCCUUCGGGCGCGAGUAAAGUGGCGGACGGGUGAGUAACGCGUAGGAAUCUACCUUCAGGUGGGGGACAACUCGGGGAAACCCGAGCUAAUACCGCAUAACAUCUAAGGAUCAAAGCGGGGGAUCUUCGGACCUCGCGCCGGAAGAGGAGCCUGCGUUAGAUUAGCUAGUUGGUGGGGUAAAGGCCUACCAAGGCGACGAUCUAUAGCUGGUCUGAGAGGACGAUCAGCCACACUGGAACUGAGACACGGUCCAGACUCCUACGGGAGGCAGCAGUGGGGAAUCUUGGGCAAUGGGCGAAAGCCUGACCCAGCCAUGCCGCGUGUGUGAAGAAGGCCUUCGGGUUGUAAAGCACUUUCAGUCGUAAAGAAACGCUUCAGGCCAAUACCUUGAAGCUUUGACGUUAGCGACAGAAGAAGCACCGGCUAACUCCGUGCCAGCAGCCGCGGUAAUACGGAGGGUGCAAACGUUAAUCGGAAUUACCGGGCGUAAAGCGCGCGUAGGCGGCUUGGUAAGUGGGAUGUGAAAGCCCCGGGCUUAACCUGGGAACUGCAUUCCAAACUGCCAGGCUAGAGUUUGGUAGAGGGAGGUGGAAUUUCCUGUGUAGCGGUGAAAUGCGUAGAUAUAGGAAGGAACACCAGUGGCGAAGGCGGCCUCCUGGACCAAAACUGACGCUGAGUGCGAAAGCGUGGGGAGCAAACGGGAUUAGAUACCCUGGUAGUCCACGCCGUAAACUAUGAGAACUAGCCGUUGGAGCCCUUGAGGCUUUGGUGGCGAAGCUAACGCGAUAAGUUCUCCGCCUGGGGAGUACGGCCGCAAGGUUAAAACUCAAAUGAAUUGACGGGGGCCCGCACAAGCGGUGGAGCAUGUUGUUUAAUUCGAUGCAACGCGAAGAACCUUACCACCCCUUGACAUCCUCAGAACUUUCCAGAGAUGGAUUGGUGCCUUCGGGAACUGAGAGACAGGUGCUGCAUGGCUGUCGUCAGCUCGUGUCGUGAGAUGUUGGGUUAAGUCCCGUAACGAGCGCAACCCUUGUCCUUAAUUGCCAGCGGGUAAAGCCGGGAACUUUAAGGAGACUGCCGGUGACAAACCGGAGGAAGGUGGGGACGACAUCAAGUCAUCAUGGCCCUCACGGGGUGGGCUACAAACGUGCUACAAUGGGGAGUACAGAGGGCUGCAAUACCGCGAGGUGGAGCGAAUCCCAGAAAACUUCUCGUAGUCCGGAUUGGAGUCUGCAACUCGACUCCAUGAAGUCGGAAUCGCUAAUCGCGAAUCAGAAUGUCGCGGUGAAUACGUUCCCGGGCCUUGUACACACCGCCCGUCACGUCAUGGGAGUGAAUUGCACCAGAAGUAGCUAGUCUAACCUUCGGGAGGGCGGUUACCACGGUGUGGUUCAUGACUGGGACGAAGUCGAAACAAGGUA